rnacentral:rRNA from 1 species
UACGUAGGUGGCAAGCGUUGUUCGGAAUUAUUGGGCGUAAAGGGCGCGUAGGCGGUUUGUUAAGUCGGUCGUGAAAGCCCGGGGCUCAACCCCGGAGGGUCGACCGAUACUGGCAGGCUAGAGUACAGAAGAGGUAACUGGAAUUCCCGGUGUAGCGGUGAAAUGCGUAGAUAUCAGGAGGAACACCGGUGGCGAAGGCGGGUCUCUGGGCCGAUACUGACGCUGAGGAGCGAAAGCGUGGGGAGCGAACAGG